rnacentral:rRNA from 1 species
GUCGAGGAUCUUCGGCAAUGGGCGCAAGCCUGACCGAGCGACGCCGCGUGUGCGAUGAAGGCCUUCGGGUUGUAAAGCACUGUCGAGGGGGACGAAAGCCGCAAGGCUUGACCGAUCCCUGGAGGAAGCACGGGCUAAGUUCGUGCCAGCAGCCGCGGUAAGACGAACCGUGCGAACGUUGUUCGGAAUCAUUGGGCUUAAAGGGCGCGUAGGCGGGUGGUCAAGUCGGUGGUGAAAUCCUUCAGCUUAACUGGAGAAUGGCCGCCGAUACUGACGACCUCGAGGGAGGUAGGGGCAUGUGGAACUUCCGGUGGAGCGGUGAAAUGCGUAGAUAUCGGAAGGAACGCCGGUGGCGAAAGCGACGUGCUGGACCUCUUCUGACGCUGAGGCGCGAAAGCCAGGGGAGCAAACGGGAUUAGAUACCCCAGUAGUCC